CUGAGGUGCAUGAUGGCGAUGGUUUGGUGGUUGGACUAGGUGAUCUGUUCCAACCUUAGUGAUUCUGUGAGAGUUACCUAAAAGAGAGGUAUUGAUGUGAAAAGCUUUCAUAUGUGUGGGAGAGACUGUUGGACUAUCUGUUUUAUCCAAUGCACUGUAAUUGUAAACACAAUAGCUGAAAGAAUCUAGGAGUCUGUGCACUGCGUUAAGAGAGUUAUAUUCCAGAGCUUAAGCAAGUAUCUAUCUCUGGACAACAUUAUGCUCUGUUAUUUUAGUCUAGUCACUUGCCUGAACUUAAUUUUGGCAUUCCAAAACAACUUUGUGGUGAUCUAGAAUAAUCCAACCCAUGUUGAGUUACCAUUUCUUUGUCACAAUUGGCUUGGUGUUCAGCUGCAGCCAAAACAGCCCUGAUUGGGAUGGGUACUGAGAACAAUUUUCUCACUGUAGAAAAUCUUUUAUGUCCCCACAUCUUGAUUACUGCAUGUAUUCUUGAUGGUCUCCACAUCUCAUGAAAAGCGUAGUUUGAAGAGGAAAAAAAGAUUUUAAACAACAAGCUAGGAGUAAGUACACCGAAAGUUAUUAAGGGUUUGUAACAGCAGGCUCACUUCAGUUUGGAGAGAAGGCUGAAUAGAGCUGGGCUUGAUAUACCAUAUCAAGAGCAAUGCAAAAGAUGAGUGCUAAACUUAUUUGUCAGAUCCUGUAAUAGCAGACUGGGGACAUGGAUUGAAACUGAUAGGAGAUAAUUUAAAGUGGAUUUUAAAAACUGUAUGCCCUCAAAGCAUGUGAUUUGCUGUUGCAAGAAAGUGUGAAGUCUUAAGACACUUGCAGCACAUCAAGAACUUCAAAGCGAAGUUUAUCCUUUAAUGGAUAAAAGGUGCAAAUCAGAUACUUUUGGCAAUAGGUAAGAAUGUUCCUGAUGACACCCAUGAUCUAAAAGCAUGAUGCAGGAUGAGUAUGAAGAUUGGACCUCAGUAUCUUGUUCCAUGUGCUCUCCUUGAGCAAAUUCUGCAGCAGCCACUGUGUGAGAUAAAACUGGGCAAGUGGAUCAUUGAUGUCAUCCUGUGGGCAUUCUUGAUUGGAACGGAUAUGGUGGAUGUGCUUCCAGGAAUGAUAAAAGAAGCUAGAUGGCUACCUAAAGCCUUCUUUCAUUAUCACAGCCAUAAAAAGGUACAAAAAGAAGCAAUAGUACUUGCAGAGCAAGUGAAGAGGAGGUGGCUACUUUGGCCCUCGGAUGGUCAAGAAACUUGGGUGGCUAGAAUGUUUUUUCUAGACUUUUUUUAGGAAUCUCCUUGAUUAGCAUCUGACUCAAAAAUGAAGGUUAACGGGAGCUGUAGAAGGGCUGACAUACUGAGUUAUCAAAGUGAAGGAAACAAUAAGCCUUGGUCAUCAUGAGAAAUACAUUACUGUGAUGUACUUCUUUUGGAACCACCUGUCAAGCCAGCUCAGAAACUGAUGUCUGAAGGGCUGAAUUUGGCACAUGUUCUCUAUUGCUCAGCAAGCAUAUUGCCUUUGUGCACCAGAAUGAGGUAUUUCCAAAAGGAACUGAAAGUCCUUUAUUCUUUUGCUCCAUAAUAUAUCCAAUGACCCAGACCUGCCCAUGUUAGAGAGCAGCUCAUCUCCUUCCACAAUAUUUCACCCAGCAGGAAAGGUGAGCUGGCACUUUUUUGGUAUAGUAGUGAAGGAGCUCUUGGCACUUCAGUAGGCAUUUCUCCCUUUGAUCUAAACUAGCCCAUGCACAUCGACUUCUCUGGCACACUGCAAAGCUCACCAGUUCUCUCAAGUUUUUCUGAGAGGAACAGUAUAGUGAAGGUGGUGAAAGGGUGAGCGGGGGCAAGGAUUUAUUUGUUUUUUCUUUCUCUUAGCUGUUAUUGGCUUCAGAUCUGAGGAACAAAGCUAAAUUUGUAAUUUGUAACGACUGUAUUUUGAAAUUGCCAGUUGCUCCAGAUAAUGAAGCAGGGAUUUUUGCCCAGAGGAGAAGAAAUGAAAAUAAAUAAAUAUGGAUCAUUUUCACCUAAUUUACGAUCUGCAAAUGUGGUUCCUCCUCAACCUACAUGAUUAAUUCUCUUCAAUCAAGAAUGACCAUCUUGAUUACAUCUUCUAACAAUAAAAAGCCAUGAAAACUUUCUUUCAUGAGAGAAAAUAAAUCCAACAAUAUCAGAUGACUGCAGUAUAGAUCUUUUUGCCAUUUGUACUGUUUUUAACCAUAUCACAGCCAAUAUAUAAAUUAUGGUAAUUCACCUUUAACAUCACUGUCAAACUGAGUAUAGACAGUUUAAUGGAAAUUGCCCUUACUUGUACCAACUGUAAAUACUGUAGAGCUGUUAAACUGUUUUGUAUGGGCAGCCUAAGAACUAAUACUACCUGUUGUAACAGAUGCUCAUUAUUAUAUAGCUGCUUUUGUUUUUUGACCAUGUGGAUGUAACAAGGUGAAUUAGAAAGAUUUGGUUGUUGUUGUUGUUGUUUUUUAUUAUUUUUAUUUUUAAAGUUGAAUUCUAUUAAUGUUUUUUGAGGCCCAGUGUUCUUUUAUUGAAAUAUUUUACAGUUUAAGUGCUUAUAGAAGAUGGUUGAUUCCCAAAGGGAAAAGUGCAGCAGUUGUGUGUUAAGGUCUCUGUUCACUUAUCAUCCCAGCCUCAGAAAUGUGUUUCCACUAACCGAAGAGCAUGAUAAGCUGAAGGAGAGGGUGUGCAAGUUAGGCAUUUGGCAAUGCUUCCACUGGAGCUGCUGUGCUGGGGUAGUACUAGAGGUUCAUGAAGUGAGGUGUUCUUUCGAGUCUAUCAUGUCUCAGCUACUUUACAAUCUCUGGAGGGUCCCAGGCAGAGUUUCUAUGAGCUGUGCCUUGGUGUUCACCAGAUAGUACAUGUGCUGCAGAUGUUUUAGCUUGCUCACCUGAAGUUUAUGAUAACUACAACACGUGGUAUGUUUUGGAUGAUCUCAAUAGUAAGUCUAGUAUCUUAUUUCUGAGGCAUUUUUGUUGCAUGAAGCAAUAAAUUCAAUUCUGUCAUCAUUAGGCAGGUGUUUAUAUGUACUGCAAGACUUUAAUCUCUCCCCUGGGAACAAAAUACUUUAGGGGGCCAUUCUACUACUUGGUGUUUGCUUUCCAUCUCUGGCAUGUUUCUGUUUCUCUCUAUGCCAGGAGAACAAGCAUGGUUUUAUGGUUAGGAUGCUGGCUUUGGAUUGUUUCCUGGCUCUGCUAUGAAGGCUGGAGCAUGUCUGUCUCUCAGCUCACCAACCUCAGUGUGGGGGUAACAGCUUCUUUUCCUGCCAUGUGUUUCAUCUGCUUAACCUGGAAGAUCUUCAGGACGUAGACUGUGCUGUGAUAAGUAGGGACAGUACCUGCUCUGCAAGACCUUUUCAGCCAAGAAUGGUUACAUCUUAGGGCCAGGUGGCGAAGUGGCGAACAGAGUCUGAUUUGUAGUUCAGAAGAUGCAAUCUUAAACUGGAGACGGGGAGAGAGAAGUUUGCUCCUUGAUGCUCAAACAGUUUCUUGGGACUUUUGGGUUUUUUUCUUCAAUGACUAAGAUGCUGAAGCAAUCCAUGGGACAAAACACCAGAACUGAUAGUUACUUUCUUCUGGCACUAGUGCAUCAACAGUUGUUAAGAGUUCCCACUCAGAAGACCUAGACGUUUACUGAUGGAGAUGUGCUCAUGCAGACAGCUUUCUAUAGGACCUCAUGAGGAUGUGGGAUAGGCUGCCAGGAGGCUCCCACCCAGCCAAGUCUGCUCUUCCCGGUCUAUUGCUACUGGCAGGUCCAACCUUGAGGUUGUGUUUAAGCUCAAGGUAGCGCAGAAAUGAAACUGUAAUCUUAGAUACAGAAAUAUAAAAAUGGAUGUGCUCCACUGUAAGACAUUAUUCUUUUACAUCAUUGUCUCAAAGCUUGCUGGGGACACAGAUGAACAAAUCCAAGCAAGUCCCGGGCAAGGGUUGAGAAAUCCUUUGUCUGGAGAACACCAAUGGACAAGGCCUGGGCAAGGGUUGUGAAAUCCACUGUCUGAGGGACACAGAUGGACAAGGCAAGGCCAGGGGCAACGAGAGAGAGAUAAGCUGCAGCUUAAUGGCCAUGAAGCGGUCUUUUGUGUGGGCUUAUCUCGAGGAAGAUGGCCAUCUCAGGAGGUGCUGCACAUGACUUUUACCCAAGCGCCCAGGAAUGCCAUGCUGGCAGAAGAAGGAGGAUAAAAAGGGGACCUACAACCAUGAGGUUGAGGUUUUUCCGGCAACAGAUUCCUCGUGAAGAAAAAGAGAAGCUUCUGACUUGAGAAACCUCACGAUCUGCCUCUCUCCCUGGACUUGCUCUGCACUCUACCAGCAUGCUGAAGAACAGAGGUGUCUGCCAUCAGAUUCAUCACUAUGGAAUGCCUGCAUGCUGACAGACUCUCCUGGGCCUGCUGCCUGAGUCCUGCUACUUCCUCCCAGACUGGCUCUGCGACUUCUUCCUGCUACUUGUUUGCCGCCCAAGGCCCGCCACGUUGCUGCUCUCCCCCCCUGCUACUUUUGUCUUGGACCUUCAAAACGUCGUGCAACGGGACCGCUGCUGGAUCCUGGUGGUCAGUCCAUAAACCAGAUGGUAUUUCUUACUGCAUGGGGACAGCAGCUAGAAGAUAAUGCAAAAAGAAAACAGACCAUGUUUAUAUUUUCUAUUGUUGAAAUACUAUCAACAAGGUAGAGCCUGCUGGCUACAGGAAGUGCAAUGGGAAGUGCAAGGACAGAAGGUCCAGUGACACAGAAUGGUACAAAGCCAACAUCAAAAUCAUCAACCAUAUCCUUUCCUCCAACGACGAGCUGGAAAUCAGUUUCUGUGCUGUGAAUAUUUACUUGCUUUAGAGGAGCUUCCUAGCAGCUACAGCUGCAUUGCUUCUCUGGCUGCCAGCCCAGCUAAUACCAUGGUAAUGCAGUCAUGCAGUUUGUUCUGCAGCUAAGUUCCUAUUUGAACAUCUUUACUUCCUGAAAUUGAAGAUUAAACAUCUCUCUUGUGCUUUUCUAAAGGCUUUACAUAAAUCAUUUGUGUCAGUACACACAAGAGCAAAUCCCACUCUGCUGUCGGCGUGGCUGCUCCCCAGUACAGCUCUGCUCCUAAAGAUAUGUGUGGCAUUUGUGGACCUGGCACUGCUACAAUCAGGCUGAGGACUGAUGUUAGCUGAAGUGAAUCUAGUACUUAAAAUGUCAGUAGAUUUUGUGCUCUUAAAAGUGAUGGACUAAUACUCUUUGGCUUGCAACUAGAAUAAUAUAAGUUUCUCCAGGUGUUUUUGCCAAGCUUGCUCAAUCUUGGCCUAUAUUCUUUCUGCUGUAGAAGCUUUAGUCUGAACUAGACCAACUACUGAGGAACAUCCAGUUGGGAAUAAUCUUGCACUAGGAUGGUGAUGACCAAAAUGAUCUAAUAAAUCUUCCUCACCUUUACUUUCUAUCUUUCCUUUUUCUCUUAUAUUUCUCCUUGCUAGUUGGAGAGAAUUUUGUGGCUUGUGGACCAAGAAGACAAUGACAGACCUGUGGUCUUGGUUUUUCAGUGAUGAAAAGCCAGAACAGCUCAAAGAUAGACUCACAGAAGAAGGUUUAACAUUGAUGUUUACAUGGUCCUCAGGGUACAGAUGUUCUGCUGGGUAUUCCUAUCAUUCUGACAAGCAGGCAGCAUUUUGUUCUCGUCGGGAUUUCCAAAUGUUUGGGGUAUUGGAACAGAAGAAACUGUAUCUUUCUAGAGAUUAUUUUUGUGGAAUGUAUUAUGAAAAAGAGGUCCUUAGGAAAUAGCAAGUCACCAGAAUGCUUAUUAAAAUGACCUUAAGGUCAGAUUCUGCCACUGUUAAUCACAAUAGUUGUUCCUUACUCUGUGAGCUUUCUCAUUGGAUUCAGUGGGAUUACUCAAGGAAUUUGGAUACUACCUGAUGGGACCAAAGCGGCAGCAAGACUAGCCUUAAUAAUUGUAGCAGCUGUAACACAACAUGCCUUUGUUUUUACCUUACCUUUUAGCUAGUUAAAAAUAUGUUGCAUGACAUUUUUUUUCUUUUGAGGAUUCCUUUUUCAAAAAGAUGAAACUUUGUCUUGGAAAUGUAUUCUGUCAUUUUUUGCCAUCAAUACUUUAAUAUAUUUAUUGUCAUAGUGUGAAGUUGUGAAGUCUUCUUUGCUGAGAUUUGCUUCACGUUUUGUAUCUCUCUCUUGUUUGUUCUAAAAAACUCUGUAAUAGGAAAAAUAAAAUAAUUUUAUUCUGAACUCUCCUUGAAAGAGAGCCUCUUCAGGCUUCACAAAUGUAUUUUCCAGGGUUUGUUUGUAUUUCUGUUUUAUUUUAAGCCACCUCUAGUAAGUAGCUAAUUUAGAACUGGGUAAUACUUCCUACUCUUUCUGACAUUGUAAGACUUGACUCAGUAUUCCAAGAGCUGCAUGAAACAGAAUGAAAAUGCCACACAAUUCUGAAUAUAAUUGGGAAACUUACCUAUGAAGAGUCAUUUACUUCCACAAAUUGAAGUGAUGAGAAUUUACACAAUUUUAUGCGCUGAGAGAAAAAGAUGCAGGAAUUAUUUUUUUCUUUCUUCUCACAGAAAAAGAAAGCAGAUUUGGCC